UACUAGGCAGCAGCUGUGCUGUGAAUCAGUGUAAGUUCUCUUCUGUCUAGUAGAGACUGUAGAAAACAGUUCACACCUCUCUUUGUCGUGCACACUCUCUCACAGUAGCUGCUGAAUUCUGACAUCAGCUGGACUAAUUAACUGUAUAAGAUUAUCAGCAGUACCUGACUACAGAUUUCUGUGUCUGUUGUAUGUCAUGUACGUGUAGACAAAUUUCUCUGCAAAUUGUGAGAAGUUAAGCUUAAAAGUGGGUGGUCUUUCCAUUUAAUUCCAAGUUAAUGUAUUGAAAGUUUUUUUAAUUACAAACACAUUUCUGGUGCCUACACAAUACUAGACCCCUAUUGUAGGAAGGAAAAGCCACCCAAGUGUUAAACUAUAAAAGGUAGAGUUUUCCUGCAAGUUUUACUCUUUUUCUGCCCUAGCCUAGCCAUUUAUGCACAAAUGUUUGCUGGAAAAAGUCCUGAGUAUGUAUCUGUAAUUAUGGAUAGCUAGGUCAUAUUCUUUUAGGAGUGGUUUGCUGUUUAUGAAUCUCAAGUUUCUUUCUUGCCCUAAGAUGGGGAUUUUGUGCCCAACGGAAUAGUUGGUAGAUUAAAUCAGCAUUGUAUAUUUGUGAGCAGAAUCUAUGCAGUUUGGUAGUUUUAUAUUUAGUAUAUUUACAGAAACCCAUAAUUUUCUUUUGUUUUAGGUGUCUGACAGAGCAAGCUAUUUUAUGCUGCUUUGCUUUAUAGUCACUGCUACAUUUGGAGCAUUCCCUGAAAAAUGAAGCUCAAAAGGUCAUAAGUCUAGUCUAAAUGUGUAGGACCUUGCUGAGUCGCUACAAAGGUUGGAAAAUAGUCCAGUCUAACCUUGUAAGAAGAAUGCUGUCAGUCAAGAACUGCUUUAUAAGAGGUUCUGUGGUGCGAUAUGUCCAGUUGCCUGCAGAUGAAGUGGACACUCAGCUGCUGCAAGAUGCAGCAAGAAAGGAGGCCAUGCAGCAAAAACAGUAGCAGCUUAAUAGACUUGGAGGUGUGAUCUGGGUAGAACGAAAAAUGUACCACACUGUGUGCUUGAACUUUGGUGUUGAGAUUGUUUUGUUGCUUCUUGGGAUUUUGUUCUGUGGCUCAGCCAUGAAUAGGAAAUGAGCAGUGUGAAACUUGUGGAGGUAGUUGGAUGCCUCUAACACAGUUAAAGCACCUGAAUAGUUAUCGUUCUGCUUGUUUAAGGGUCAUUUAAAAAAAAAAAAAAACGGUCUUUUGACGUAAUGGUUGACCGAUGACUUAAGCAUGCUUCAGAGAGGAGAGGCAAUUUUUUUUUUAAUUUGUAAAAUGCAUAUGUUUAAUGUGGUAACUGACCUUGAGCAAAGGGAAAUUGCUGGAGAAAUGAUUUUUAUACCUGUAGACAUGUGGUAUGUAACUACAGCAAGAAUGGACAUUUAAUUUCUAAAAAUAUGGCUUGACAUUUUCAGAUUUGUUUGAGAUUUUUUUAAAUUUUUUGUUCAUUUCACUGUAUUGAGGGCUUCUUUCUACUUUCUUGUGAAGAGCUUAUUUUAUUGAAUGACACAUUUUAAAUAGAAUUAUAGUAAAAGAUUUACAGUGUGCGUAACUUGGGUAGCAUGGUGGCGCAGUGUGUAGUGUUAUUGAAUUCUUACACCAGGUUUCUGUGCCAAGGUCCGGGUACUGUUUUUGCAGGGUUUGCAUUUUUUUUCCUCCAGGUGCCCCAUAUUUUUCUCACCUCCCAGAGUUGUGCUGUCUAGGUUGAUUUGUUGCUUGUAUAGACAUUUUUUUUUUCUAGCUGGCAUUUGGGUUGACUAAGGUUUUAUACAAAGUUCACUUAAAUGGAGUGUGUGUGGAUCUCUGAAGAAAAAUUAUGACUCUUUUGGAGUUGGGAAAUAUUCUCCUUUUCAGUUGCACAUUUACCGUAUUGUUUUAGUGUAGAAAGCAUAUUUGAUUAGUAAAGCUUGCCCCCGACAAUUGUAUUGCAUUUGAAGUAUUGUGCACUAAAAGGCUAAACCCACUUCAGUGACUAUUUUCUACUGUUGCAGCCAUGGGACACCUUUACUUUCCUGUAAAUGUAUGUUGUAGAGUUUGUUUUGCAGAUAGAAUGCCCCACUUUAAAAAAUUAAAGUGGUAAAAUAUUAAAAUGACCGCUUGAAUGUUCUUGAUAAUUUGAUUAUGCAGAAUGCUUUACUGAUUUUUUUUUCCAAAAAUCAAAGCAUUUCAUUAUGUCAUUUGUGAGUUUGGCUGUAGAGUAAUUAAACUAACUGAAAAUUAAAUUGUGUAAAUGAAAAUAUUUGGAAAGACCACUAAUGCAUAUUACAGGAAUAUGCUUAGUGGUCAAGUAUAACACCUUUUUAUAAAUA